rnacentral:lncRNA from 8 species
AUGUUGACCAGGAAUUUUCUCAUCCUCUGCUCUCUGGCAGCUGUGCUAGUACAAGCUGACCUUGAUACUAAUAGCAAUCGUGCUUCCCAAGCCAUUUCCACAGAUAAGGACUCAACCUCGGAUGAAGCACCAACUGAGAGCAUGAAUGCCAUCUCCUCGGACCAGUCUAACCAUGUAAGCCGCACAAGUGUAGAAGUUGGACAAGAUGCUUCUAAACCGAACGGGGUGACUGGACCUGGUGGCACGGCAAACAGUGUUGAGGACCGUGAAGAGAAUGAGAGCUCCGAUGAAGGUGUGAGAAAAAGAAUCGUUCCUCCACCUCCUCCUCCUGCUGCUCCACAACAAAGGUCACGGAAGUUAGUUGGGCCAGCAGGUGGUAACCGAAGAAAGGCAGCAGCACCAAAACAGAAGAGGAGAUCACGGCCCUCUCGUCAUCAAUCCUGAAACGCCACAAAGACACACAAAGGCAAACAUUUAAUUUUAGUGAUUACGUAGAAAAAACCCAUGUUGUAUCUUAUUACUGUCUAUGCCAUAACAUGGACGUGUACAGAACCGUACGCACAUGAUGAAACUGUUUUGCUGUAUCUUGGGCUGUAAAACAAAGUCAGCAUGACAUGGCAUAUUGUUUACUUUAACACCUGUGGAACAACUCAGUGGUAGGUUCAACACAAACUCAUGGGCCUUUCUCUGUGAAUAAAAUAUACCAUUGCAUUUACCAUUUAAUGUGAUGACAUGACAACAGGCCCAAAAACACCAGUCUGAGACCAGUUCACGCAUCCAUUAAAAUCCAGGAUGAGGCAUGCUUUUUGCAGCAUCAUGACUUGACACUGACCUUAAGAGCCAAUGAAACUGCUCUAAAUUCACCAACCUGUUUCAAAAUAGAAAGGAUUUCACUCCCAUGAAAAUAAACUAAGCAACAACAAAAACAUCCUCUCACUGUCAACUGCGUUUAUUUUCAGCAAACUUAACAUGUGUAAAUAUUUGUAUGAACAUAACAAGAUUCAACAACUGAGACAUAAACUGAACAAGUUCCACAGACAUGUGACUAACAGAAAUGGAAUAAUGUGUCCUUGAACAAACGGGGGUCAAAAUCAAAAGUAACAGUCAGUAUCUGGUGUGGCCACCAGCUGCAUUAAGUACUGCGGUGCAUCUCCUCAUGGACUGCACCAGAUUUGCCCGUUCUUGCUGUGAGAUGUUACCCCACUCUUCCACCAAGGCACCUGCAAGUUCCCAGACAUUUCUGGGGGGGAAGGGCCCUAGCCCUCACCCUCUGAUCCAACAGGUCCCAGACGUGCUCAAUGGGGUUGAGAUCCGGGCUCUUCGUUGGCCAUGGCAGAACACUGACAUUCCUGUCUUGCAGGAAAUCACUCACAGAACAAGCAGUAUGGCUGGUGGCUUUGUCAUGCUGAGGGUCAUGUCAGGAUGAGCCUGCAGGAAGGGUACCACAUGAGGGAGGAG